rnacentral:lncRNA from 1 species
AUAGUGACAUUGCAGUAUUAUACUUUAAUUACUAGUACUGCUUAAGUCCACACUAGGGACCAUCUCCACCUUGUUUUACGAUCUUUUACGGUAUUAAUGAUUCUUUAAAAGUAUUGUUGAAGACCAUCCGGCAACUAUCAAGAUGAAGAGCAGGAACACAAACUUUGACCAUUGAUCAUUUGUAUUUUUUCUAUGCAUUGACUUUGUGUGCGAUUAUGUCCCCAUACUCCUUUAUUAUCUGCUAAAGGGUCUCAACACGACUUAAUGCAAGUUUAACCUUUCAAUGUAAAAGGUCAUA